GGUAUGCCAAGCGAUUAAGUAAAAUUUCACAACAGUUUUAUAACACCGAUUAACAAAUCACAUAAGCACAGUAACAACCCCAAUAAUGCUGUAUGUUGCAUUCUUUCCUCUCUCAAAAGGAAGGAGCAUGUUGAUUCAAGAACUUGCCAGUUAGCGGUACCAGUUACAACCGCGUUAUUCCAACUUGGGCAGUACUCUAACGAGACCAUAGGUAUACUCUAUAAAUUAUUGAUUAAAGAAUGUGCGUGUUCUAAACAUCAUGUCAUACAAAUUGAAGUUAUUGAUGAUCAAAAUGCAUGUCGGUAUUUGCCAUUCUAUCAGUUCCUACAAGUGAUAUCCUGUCAUCAUAGACAUAAACGCUUCCAAAUGCAUCUGUGCCCGGAGGACAUUCAAGAGCAGCUUCAAGAACUCUAUGGUGUACCCCAUGAGAAUCAAUGGAAUACCCACCUUUAUGAUCGUGUCCAGCAAGAACGGCUUUAACACAACUGUAUCUGUGUAUCAAAUUCAUCACUUCAUCACAAUUCCACAGUAGCGCCUCCUCGGAUGUUGCACAAGGAUCUAGAGGCAGAUGGCAUGUGACAACCACUUUCUGUUUCAAUUUGGUUGCAUCCUGGAGAAUACCAUCCAACCAUUCCAUCUGUUCCUUUCCAACACCUCCGUUAA
rnacentral:lncRNA from 1 species